rnacentral:lncRNA from 1 species
AAUAUGUUUAGCCCAUGGUCUGUGUCUCUCCCCCCAGUUCUCUCCUACCUGAGCCCCACAUGGGUGAAGAGUCUGAGGAUCAGAACCCCUUGCAACUAUGUCACCAUGAUGCAAUUAUCCCCCUGGCUUAGUGGGUACUCGGCGGCUUUUAAAGACUGUGGUGAGACUGAGCCUCACUCCUUCCCCACCCUGCCCUUUGCUUGACAGAACUUCAGCGAUGGGCUAAGGGGUGUAGAGCUUUGGUCACUCCAACCCGCAAAGUUUGCAAGAUGCAAGAGGGAUGAUUAGAGGUGGAAAGGAUUAUUUCUAUGGAAGAAGAGAAUGUAUGGGGAAGGGAUGGAUAGGAAAAGAGAGAGAGACCAUUGCAGAAGAGGAACGGGUUGAGGGUGAGGGGUUCUGAGGAGUGAAGAAGGGAAGGGAAGCACUGGAGAAUGUGGGAGGUCCAUCUGGCCACCUUCUGAAGGUCUGGGGUCCAGCCACGAGAAACACCUCCACAGAAGCCCUCAGUCCUUGUGCGGCAUAAGGGAGGAGGUUGGCCCAGCCACAUCUCCAGUCCCCACCUGCGAUCUGCAUCAUCACCCGCGGCCCUUCAGUUUAUCCUCUGUUGUAGCCACAAGUGAACAAGGACCGCUGUAUCCUGUUCCCUGAUUACUGGUGGCAGAACCAGGAUCCCCAGAGUCCAGUGACACUACUCUUGCUUCUUUCCUAUGGUCCCCAGGCAGCAAGGGUGGGCACAGACUGACCAUGUGCAGCAGAGUCCCUCUCCCAUCAGCCCACAGCCCACCUUACUCCUGGACUUGGCUCCAGCCAAGUCUACACUUCCCUCUAGUGGCCUAACCCAGUAUUACAGUCUCC